CAGCAGCCGCGGUAAUACGUAGGUCCCGAGCGUUGUCCGGAUNUAUUGGGCGUAAAGCGAGCGCAGGCGAUUAGAUAAGUCUGAAGUUAAAGGCUGUGGCUUAACCAUAGUACGCNUUGGAAACUGUUUAACNUGAGUGCAAGAGGGGAGAGUGGAAUNCCAUGUGUAGCGGUGAAAUGCGUAGAUAUAUGGAGGAACACCGGUGGCGAAAGCGGCUCUCUGGCUUGUAACUGACGCUGAGGCUCGAAAGCGUGGGGAGCAAACAGGAUUAGAUACCCUGGUAGUCCACGCCGUAAACGAUGAGUGCUAGGUGUUAGACCCUUUCCGGGGUUUAGUGCCGCAGCUAACGCAUUAAGCACUCCGCCUGGGGAGU
rnacentral:rRNA from 1 species